CUCAGGAUGAACGCUGGCGGCGUGCUUACACACGCAAGUCGAACGAAGCCUCGGGCUUAGUGGCGGACGGGUGAGUAACGCGUGAGAAUCUACCUUCGAGAUGGGGACAACCGUUGGAAACGACGGCUAAUCCCCAAUAAGCCGAAAGGUGAAAGGGUUUCCGCUCGCAGAGGAGCUCGCGUCCGAUUAGUUAGUUGGUGGGGUAAGAGCCUACCAAGGCAGCGAUCGGUAGCUGGUCUGAGAGGAUGAGCAGCCACACUGGGACUGAGACACGGCCCAGACUCCUACGGGAGGCAGCAGUGGGGAAUUUUCCGCAAUGGGCGCAAGCCUGACGGAGCAACGCCGCGUGUGGGAAGAAGGCUCUUGGGCUGUCAACCACUUUUCUCAGGGAAGAAGUCCUGACGGUACCUGAGGAAUCAGCCUCGGCUAACUCCGUGCCAGCAGCCGCGGGUAAUACGGAGGAGGCAAGCCGUUAUCCGGAAUUAUUGGGCGUAAAGCGUCCGCAGGGGGCACUUCAAGUCUGCUGUCAAAGGUCGGAAGCUUAACUCCGGUUCGGCA
rnacentral:rRNA from 1 species